GACGAACGCUGGCGGCGUGCUUAACACAUGCAAGUCGAACGGAAAGGCCCUGCUUUUGUGGGGUGCUCGAGUGGCGAACGGGUGAGUAACACGUGAGUAACCUGCCCUUGACUUUGGGAUAACUUUAGGAAACUGGGGCUAAUACCGGAUAGGAGCUCCUGCUGCAUGGUGGGGGUUGGAAAGUUUCGGCGGUUGGGGAUGGACUCGCGGCUUAUCAGCUUGUUGGUGGGGUAGUGGCGUACCAAGGGUUUGACGGGUAGCCGGCCUGAGAGGGUGACCGGCCACAUUGGGACUGAGAUACGGCCCAGACUCCUACGGGAGGCAGCAGUGGGGAAUAUUGCACAAUGGGCGGAAGCCUGAUGCAGCAACGCCGCGUGCGGGAUGACGGCCUUCGGGUUGUAAACCGCUUUCGCCUGUGACGAAGCGUGAGUGACGGUAAUGGGUAAAGAAGCACCGGCUAACUACGUG
rnacentral:rRNA from 1 species